AAUGUAUAUACAUUUUAAUAGACAUACAUUUACAACUUUUAUGGGUGAAUUUGAACUCAAAUAAAAUGCAAAGCAUUUGGCCAGCAGUUAAGUAAAAGGAGAGGGACAACAGCACUGAUCACCCCCUAAUGCAGACACAAGACCUUCCUUGAAAAAUAUUACACAUUUUAGUUGUUUCAUUUUGUUAGAAGGAGCACCACACUCUGAUUUCUACAUGUAACAUAAAUACUGUGCCAUAUGCUACAUAACAUAUUAUAUUACACUUAUGAGUGCUCUUCUGACCUCUUUGACAGUUUUUCACAUUGAGGUUUGAUAACAGAGUAUUUGUUAUUUAAAACCAAAUGGGCUAAACAUUUUAUUCAAAGCUAAUUUUAUUGUUGCAGUCAAUGCAUGGAUAGCUUUCAGAUAAACAAGGUUUCAAAUGCUGCAGAUUGUGCUUACUAUUUUAUGUUUUGUUAGUGCGUUUAACAAGUUACAUUUUAGAGAUGCUACCAGUUAGGGAUGGAGGCAAAAAGUGGUUUUGCGACCAUGAAAUUGUGACUCACAGUUUCUUACUGACCUUCAGUUUAGGGACCCUAAUUCAGAUAUCAUCAGUGAAAAGGCAAAUCAAUUCUGUGUGUUUACUUAGGCAGUUCUCUUCGUAGAUUUGAUGAUGUAUGAUGUGGUGUGCAUAAGUGUGUGUGUGUGUGUGUGUGUGUGUGUGUGUGUGUGUGUGUGUGUGUGUGUGUAUGGUACUGUGCCUAAAACAUGAUUAAACAACUUAUGUGAGUAUAGCUAAAUUUUUUAAGGUUGUACAAUUGCAGAGAAUUUUAUAUUAAGCAACAGGGUACUGGAAACAAAGCUCCCUGCACAGGGAUGGAGGCAGGGGGAGGCAUCCCUUUACACUUCAUUCAAGGCUACCAUUUAUUUAUUUGUUAAAAUGUGUUUACCAGCAUAGAUCACUGAUCAAACAAUGACUAAUUACAGACAAAGCCUGGGUUACUUCAUAGGUUCCUAGGUGAAUACUUGGCUAACUGCCCUAAAGGGCCAUUUUUAAGCCUAGCCAGUAAUCCAAGAUCAGAAUCAAACUCUGUACCUUGUGUCUAUAAGGUGAAGACUUUAUUAAUUAUACCAAACACAGCUCUCCUGGUAAAUCCACCUCCACCAUAAUGUAACAAAACAAUGUGUAGUAUACAGAUAGUAAUUUACUUUUAUGAGUAAGCAUAGAAAUCUGACGAAGAAUAUAUACAUAGAAUAUCUAACCCACCACAUAUGUGACAUAAAUGGAAUAGAAAUGGGAAAAUAGAAUUAAGUAGGAGUAGAAAUGGUGGCGAUAUCACAGUAGUAGCUAGAUUGGGGAAGCUAUAUGAGACUAGUGAGAUUAAAAAGGGGACUAGAUUAUGUAUAGAGGAUUAGAACAGUAAUGGUGUGAUUAGCUGAGUCAUGGUUAAGGAUGAGUGAAUUAAUCAGAUGCAUCAGUAAUUUGGGAGGUAAAGGUACAAUGCAGAUGGAGAUAUCAGUUUAGGUAACAUAUCCUUUGGAUGGAUAGUUGCAUUUAAAAUGUUUUACUAAUUAUUGUUUGAACUAUGGCCUGAACAGGGGAGUACUUUGUGUAAACAGUUAAACUGGGGGAAGUGACUGCUAUAGUUCUGGGCUGGUACAGAGAAGCAAUGGGUAGUAGGGUACAUUCUGAAAUAAGGGGUUUGUAUGGAAGGACCAGUUCUGACCUGGCUUCUUACGUUAUAGGCUUCAGUGGCAGUAAAAAGUUUUUUUUUUUGGGGGGGGGGCAUAUAUUUUGUCUGUUCAGAUGUAACUCAUAUUUUUAAGUCUGUAUAUACAGUGGAUAUAAA